AUUGAACGCUGGCGGCAGGCUUAACACAUGCAAGUCGAGCGGGGUGAUGGUGCUUGCACUAUCACUUAGCGGCGGACGGGUGAGUAAUGCUUAGGAAUCUGCCUAUUAGUGGGGGACAACAUCUCGAAAGGGAUGCUAAUACCGCAUACGUCCUACGGGAGAAAGCAGGGGAUCACUUGUGCCCUUGCGCUAUUAGAUGAGCCUAAGUGGGAGUAGCUAGUUGGUGGGGUAAAGGCCUACCAAGGCGACGAUCUGUAGCGGGUCUGGGAGGAUGAUCCGCCACACUGGGACUGAGAAACGGCCCAGACUCCUACGGGAGGCAGCAGUGGGGAAUAUUGGACAAUGGGGGGAACCCUGAUCCAGCCAUGCCGCGUGUGUGAAGAAGGCCUUAUGGUUGUAAAGCACUUUAAGCGAGGAGGAGGCUCUUUUGGUUAAUACCCAAGAUGAGUGGACGUUACUCGCAGAAUAAGCACCGGCUAACUCUGUGCCAGCAGCCGCCGUAA
rnacentral:rRNA from 1 species